AAAUUGCCAGCAGUUCAGUUGGGCACUUUAAAGAGACUGCCGGUGUUAAACCGGAGGAAGGUGGGGAUGAACGUCAAGUCCUCAUGGCCUUUAUGCUUAGGGCUACACGCGUACUACAAUGGCCGGUACAAAGGGCAGCCACUCAGCGAUGGGGCGCUAAUCCCAUAAAGCCGGUCUCAGUCCGGAUCGCAGUCUGCAACUCGACUGCGUGAAGUUGGAAUCGCUAGUAAUCGUAGAUCAGCAUGCUACGGUGAAUACGUUCCCGGGCCUU
rnacentral:rRNA from 1 species